GCUCGGAUACGAUGAUCAACGUACCCUUAUCGAAAAAUUGCAAACUAUAUCGAGUGAUGUAAUAAUUUCUGGGCAAGAAAUUAGGUAAUGUUUCAAAGAUAGUGGCACUAAUUGGUCUUUUUCAAUUAGGGUCUGGCAUGUUUUAUGUUACUCCUACGUCACAAGAGACGUUGUAUUUAUCGGCAUCGACAUUGACUUUAACCGGUGUUGGAAUAAAAAAAUUCGGAACCAGUAACUUUUGGUUGAGAUGGUACAUGCGUCAUCGAUAUUUAUGAUUAAUGUUAUUUAUGAACUUGCUUGACGUAGAACACAACAGGUACGAAAUUGAGAACGGAAAUGGUUUUUUUUUUUAAUGAACACUUUUUAGGUUGCAUGCGAUGCUUGGAUCGUUUCCUGACUGCGAUGCGGUUCAGUUAGUCGUUAGCUUCGACGAACGAUGAACGCAAAGCUUGCUAAGGAGUAAUAUUAUUACUGGAGAUAUCAAGCAACUCUUCUCCACAAGAUGCAACUCAUUUCGAAUCCUGAUAGGCCAUGGAUCGAGGCAAGAUCAAACUUAUUUAUUGUAAACGAACAGGGAGCCAAACGAUUUUUUAACAAAAUGAAACGCAACGAAAUGAAAUGUAAACCCGCGAUGGGACGCGACGCGCACGGGAAUCGAGUUGAUGGAACUCAACUGCCUGCUAUUUGGUAUACGCGCACAGUGCGAAUCGAGUGCAACAAUAUAGAGGUGGGUAUGUAUAUACAAGGGUAUUAUAGCCUCUCGAGAAUCCGAGCGAACGUUUCACCGAGGACGCGGUUGCAUCUUGGCGAAAAAAAUUUGCGAAUAUUAUAACCCGAUACGAGAGGAAAAGAGAAGGAAUCAGGAGAGAGAGAAUUGAAAGAAGGGGGCAGAGUGCGUCGCCCGGUCGUAAGCUCGACGAAUGAUACAUGUAAUACGCCAUCAUCGGGGAUCAUUAUCACGAAUUUGAGUUCGGAAUCAACGGAUUUGCAAGAACCGAAUCGAUUGCCCAAGAAGAUCUUCAGAGGAUAUACGCUGCAACCACAGGGCCAGGAUCACAUUAUCACUGCAGGUGAU
rnacentral:lncRNA from 1 species